GCAUAUCAAUAAGCGGAGGAAAAGAAACUAACAAGGAUUCCCCUAGUAACGGCGAGUGAAGAGGGAAGAGCUCAAAUUUUAAAUCUGCCUUGUUUUCAAGGUCGAGUUGUAAUUUGAAGAAGCUGUUUUCUUGGGCUCGCGGCCGGUAGAAGUUCUUUGGAACAGGACAUCAUAGAGGGUGACAAUCCCGUCUGCGACCGGUCGUGCGUUCAUCUACGAUACGCUUUCAAAGAGUCGAGUUGUUUGGGAUUGCAGCUCCAAAUGGGUGGUAAACAUCACCUAAGGCUAAAUAUUGGCGAGAGACCGAUAGCGAACAAGUACCGUGAGGGAAGGAUGAAAAGAACUUUGAAAAGAGAGUUAAACAGUACGUGAAAUUGUUGAAAGGGAAACGAUUGAAGUCAGUCGUGCUGGCGCGAAAUCAACCUUCUCGUCGAGAGAUCACGUGGCGUGGCGAGCCUCAAAACCGUCACGAAGCGUGAACUCUUUGUGAAAUGGAGCACUUUCGUGUCCGCUGGUUAACAUCAAUUCCGAACGUCAUAAAAAGGCUGGAGGGAUGUGGCUCCUUCGGGAGUGUUAUAACCUUUAGCGGAAUGUGGUGGUCGGGAUUGAGGAUUGCAACGAAUACCUUUAGGGCUGUUCCACCUGGCUUCUCUUUGGUAUCCUGGUGACAGACAGCUUGCUGACGUCGUUAGGAUUCGCCUUUGAACAGGCUAGAGUGUGAGCAAAUUCGUUAAGGAUGUUGACGUAAUGGCUUUAAACGAC
rnacentral:rRNA from 1 species